rnacentral:rRNA from 1 species
CAUUCAUAAUAAGUGUUUUAUGGCACUUUUUAAAUCCAUAUCCACCUUGUGUGCAAUGUCAGUCGACCUUCUUUAUGGAGAUUGGCCAAACAUCAACCUAAUUUUUUAACUCUUUGUCUGAAAAAUAUUAUGAAUAAAAUAAUUCAAAAUACAACUUUCAACAACGGAUCUCUUGGCUCUCGCAUCGAUGGAGAACGCAGCGAAAUGCGAUACGUAAUGUGAAUUGCAGAAUUCAGUGAAUCAUCGAAUCUUUGAACGCAUAUUGCGCUCUUUGGUAUUCCGAAGAGCAUGCUUGUUUGAGUAUCAGUAAACACCUCAAAGCUUUUGAUUUUUUUUCAAAUGUUUUGGACUUGAGCAAUCCCAACACCAAUCUUUUUUAGAUCGGCGGCGGGUUGCUUGAAAUGCAGGUGCAGCUGGACAUUCUCCUGAGCUAAAAGCAUAUUUAUUUAGUCCCGUCAAACGGAUUAUUACUUUUGCUGCAGCUAAUAUAAAGGGAGUUUGACCAUUUUGGCUGACUGAUGCAGGAUUUCACAAGGGUCGGCAACGAUUCUUGUAAAACUCGAUCUCAAAUCAA